AUAUCAAUGUCCGCACCUAACAUAACGCCUGAUUUUCGUUAAUGCUGAGUCCUCAGAAGGCUGACAAAGCAGGCCGAUUCGGGUGAAUUUUAGAAGAUUCCUUUUACGUGCGUAUGAGGCUGGUGCACACAGGCUAUCAUAUUCUACAAAAAGCAUGACCACAUUCAAUCAAGCAAGGAUCAUCUUCCUUCUAAUAUGUGCCGAAUGGUGCAUUGUUCAAGCGUGCAGACACACCGAGUACAUUUUUUGGUGCCACCGUGGUGACUACAUCCCUGGAAUCUUGUGUCCUGGAGUUCAGCGAUGGCAAUGCGAGAAAUCAAAGCUUAGGUGCGCAUGUAAGGAAGGGAAUGCCCAGAGGUGGGACUCCUACUGCGUGCCUUACAGGGACUGCGUCUUCAGGGACUUCCAUCCAGAAAAACUGCUUAGGCUGGACGAAGACCUCAUCAUGGUGGGGCUGUCAACCUCAAUAUUUGAAAAUGACGCUUUCAAAUGCUUUGUCUCCUCCCCGUUUAAACGUGGUAGUCACAACUUACACCGCCUGGUGAAGUACAAAAAAAAA